ensembl:lncRNA
GUCAAGGCAGAUUUCUUUGACCCUGGCAACACAUCAUGGCAGAAAUAUGAUUGGAUAAAAGCUCUAACUUAAACAUACCGUGGAAGCAGCGCAACCAAGAGAAAAGCUAUGAAAUGAAGAGAAUAGACUAUUGGAAAUAAUUUAAUACAUAUUCAUGGAAAUAAAUAUAUAAAACAUAAGUCAGUGAUUCUGAUAGUGUUUGGGCCCGCAGAGAAGCCCACCACUGAUGGGACCAUUCCACCUCUUGGUUCUCACGCAUUCGUUCUGUUUUUAAUAACAUGUGGGCGGACAAACAUGGAACUGUUGUGGUGAUUAGGGGGGGCACUAAUGAACCGUCCAUAACGCACGCUCGUUAUAAGACACUUAACCCUCAUGCGGUACACUGCGUGAUAAAAAAGCAACCCAACAAGACAUGGGGCCCCUCGGCCCCUCCCCUCAGGUCCCUCCCCCUCUCCCCCUGGGUCCCCAGGCCCCUCCCCCCUCUGCAUCUGGGUCCUCAGGCCCCUCCCCCCUCGGCCCCUGGGUCCCCAGGCCCCUCCCCCCUCGGCCCCUGGGUCCCCAGGCCCCUCCCCUUUCUGUUUCCUGACCAAAGGAAGAUCAUGUCGUUUGUUUGGUCACUGAUGUUUUAUUUAAAGACAGCAGCACACAGUCACAGUUCAGAGGGGACGGGGGGGGUCAAAGGGGUCAAGGGGCCAGAGUUCAUGAACCCCCAUGUCUUCUUUCAGAGCCUGAGUGGCCGCCAUGUUGGAUCCUGUGGGCAGUUCUACUUCCUGCCUCCACCCUCCUCAACUUCCUGGUUCUCAUUGGAUGCUGCAUCUGGACAGGUGUGUGUGUCCAGGGAGAAGGAGGUCUUUGUGUGUGUCUGUGUGUGUGUGUGUGUGUGUGUGUGUGUGUGUGACAAUGUUUCAAAUGAAAUCAAAACAAUCAACCUCUCUCUGGGAUGUGGGAUAUGAUGUGUGAUAUAAUUUAGAGAGAGAGAGAGAGAGAGAGAGAGAGAGAGAGAGAGAGAGAGAGAGAGAGAGAGAGAGAGAGAGAGAGAGAGAGAGAGAGAGAGAGAGAGAGAGAGAGAGAGAGAGAGAGAGAGAGAGAGAGAGAGAGGUAGAGCGAGCCUCAGUCCUCCUUGAGCAGCAGGCCGUAGGGCCGUAGGGCGAGCUGGAUGGAGGCCCUGGUCUGGGCGGUGACCACCCAGAGCCCCUCCCUCUGGCACUGCCUCCGCUGCUCCGGGUUGAUCCGGUUCUGCAGCACCACCUUGUAGGUCUUCCCGUCGCCGCGGGAACGGAACCUCUUGCAGUAGCCCUCGGCCACGCCCACCAGGGUGGAGGAGUACACGCCCCUCAGGUAGGUCGCCCCGGCGACCGGGCCGGGCUCGAUCUCCUCCAGGGCCCCGGGCUCCGCCCCCUCGGGGGCCGGGCCGCGGCGUGUCGCCGUGACGCCCAGGGCCCCGUCCAUGCGGUUGCCAUGGUAACUGACGGGCCAGGCGUCGGGGCCGGUGCCCAGCCAGGCGUCGCCCCCGUCGUACCCCAGCACCCGCAGGGCCACCCGCCGCCAGCCGCAAGGACGCACGUACCGCUCCCGCCGCGCGAGAAGCUCUGCUCGCCAUCCUGGGGGAGACGUGACAGGUACGAUGUGAUUGGCUGAACGCUAAUUAGCUACAGACACAUGUAUGAUGUGAUUGGCCACACACACAUUGGCUACAGACACAGGUAUGAUGUGAUUGGCCUCACUCUAAUUGGUUACAGACACAGGUAUGAUGUGAUUGGCCUCACUCUAAUUGGCUACAGACACAGGUAUGAUGUGAUUGGCCUCACUCUAAUUGGUUACAGACACAGGUAUGAUGUGAUUGGCUGAAGCUAAUUGGCUACAGACGCAGUAAUCGGUGUUGGGGGGGCACUCUGGCGCCCCCUGCUGGUCUGAGUAGGAACACGUCUCCUGGAGUUAUAAGAAACUGAAACAAUAAUCUGCAGUAUUAUGACGCCAUGUCAGGUGCUACACUUCCGCGUCGUUCGGCCUCGGCGGAUUUGGGGUCCUGCGGUUCAGGGGUCCCCCACACCCACUGACGCCCCGUCGAAACCCCGUAGAGUAGACUAAAUCCAAACGUACACAAACACACACACACACGCACACACAAACACGCCUGACGUAAACGGCUCGCGCGUCAGCACCUUGACGUUGGUGAAGUCGUAGUCGAACCGGGGAUCGAAGAAGGUGGCGGGGUUGAUCUUAAUGGGGGGUCCUUCGAGGGGCUCCGGCGGGGGGGGGCCCUCCACGGCCAGGGGCGCGCUGUACAUGUCCUCGUCGUCGGGGCCGCCUAGCGACAGGGAGCCAAGGCUGGGGUACUCGAGCUCCUGCAGGCCCUCGCGGCGGUAGAACUGCUUCAGGGCCGCGAUGUUCACCACGUCCUGCGGCAUCAGCUGCGACUCGGCGGCCGAGGCCUCCACGCGACACCCCGUCAGCGCGGAUAGCGCCUCCAGACACAGGUCCAUCCGCACGGCCAUCCGACAGACAGACAGAUAGACAGGCAGGCAGACAGACAGACAGAGAGACCUCUUAGACCACCAGUAGAUCACUCAGUCGGAGAUGAGGUCUGGGACGCGACCGUCUGGUGGACAGGACCCUCUGGAUCUCUGGAUCAGUUUCAGUUUCUGUUCACUCGGUCCGCCCCGCUGUGACUCACUCUGUCUCACUCUGUCUUUACCCGUAUCACUCCUCCAGGGUUUAAGAUAUGAAAGAUGGAUUAAUGAGUCUGGAGUUGGAGAGCCCUCAACUCAAGGCGAUCAUUCACUCGGUCUGAAGUGAAUGAAAGUUUGACGUGAAGUUCUUCCCGGGGGGAGUCCGCCGUUGGUGUGUGAAUGUGGGUAUGAAUGGUUCUAAGUUCCUCUGGAUAAAAGUGUCUGCUAAAUACACUAUUGUAAAUGUAAAUACAAAUGUAAAGGUAAAUGUUUCCCUAAUAUGAGAUCAUUCUUAAGGUAAACGAUGCUGCUGCUGCCGCGGGAAGACGGAGGCGGGGCUUGUUGAUUACGCCAGUAUAAAACAUGCACACAGGCCACGCCCCUCUGCCCAGCAAGGACCAGGAUUGGUCAAAGAAAACAUUCCUCGAGGCAUCAUAUACGCAGCCGUGAGGUUACAGAGCCCGCCCCCGAGGCAGUGAUGGACGGAUCCACUGGCGAAUAAGGAUUCAGUAAAUCCGGUCUGUAGGUCCGACCUGGGUCGUACUGGUCCGGCCCCUCCUCUCAGAGGGUGCCACUGCGCUGCCCUCACCGGUUUCACUUCAGAUCUCAACUCCCUU